CUGGGCUUUCCCAGUCAAGGCGGCACCCACAGAGAGGCAGCAAUGAUGUAGAGAAAGGGAGCACUGGACUCGGAGGCAGAAGACCUGA
rnacentral:miRNA from 1 species